rnacentral:rRNA from 1 species
CAAAGUUUUUGGGUUCCGGGGGGAGUAUGGUCGCAAGGCUGAAACUUGAAGGAAUUGACGGAAGGGCACCACCAGGAGUGGAGCUUGCGGCUUAAUUCAACUCAACACGGGGAAACUUACCAGGUCCAGACGCGAAUAGGAUUGACAGAUUGAGAGCUCUUUCUUGAUUUUGUGGAUGGUGGUGCAUGGCCGUUCUUAGUUGGUGGAGUGAUUUGUCUGCUUAAUUGCGAUAACGAACGAGACCUUAACCGGCUAACUAGUUUUUAUUGCCCAAAAUGCGCAUUCGCACGUUUUCAGCAAUCAAUAACUUCUUAGAGGGACAGUUGGUGAUUAACCAAAGGAAGUAUGAGGCAAUAACAGGUCUGUGAUGCCCUUAGAUGUCCUGGGCCGCACGCGCGCUACACUGAUGGAAUCAACGAGUUACCGAGAUCAAACGAUUUUGGCAAACAGCAAAUUUCAUCGUGAUGGGGAUAGACGAUUGUAACUAUUUGUCUUGAACGAGGAAUUCCUAGUAAGCGUGAGUCAUCAGCUCACGUUGAUUACGUCCCUGCCCUUUGUGCACACCGCCCGUCGCUCCUACCGAUUGAAUUGUUCGGUGAAGACGACGGAGUUUUCAGAUUUGUGUAGGAAACUGUACGAAAUUGAGAGCAAAGUUGUUUAAACCUCAUGAUUUAGAGGAAGGAGAAGUCGUAACAAGGUAUCCGUAGGUGAACCUGCAGAAGGAUCA